rnacentral:misc_RNA from 1 species
AAGCGUAACAAGGUUUCCGUAGGUGAACCUGCGGAAGGAUCAUUAACACGUAUCCAACGUUAAAACAACCCCCGUGAACUUUCAGCUUGCCUGUAGCCCGUGAAAACAGCAAUCCCUGCCGAUUGUGAUAUUUUAUAGCUACGGUUGAGCGAUUGCAUCUAGUGACCUGGCAUCCCCAAGUAAUCAGUGUCUGAAAGUGUCAUUGAUUAUGUAAGGAUGGCGCAGUCACGAUCGCUGUAGGCCCACACGGCCGGCGACCGGGUCACCGGGCUCUGCCCCUUUACGACAACACAGUACGAAUUGGCCGCGCGUGAAAUUCGCACGGCACCAAAAACCGAACAACUGUUAACAAUGGAUAUCUUGGUUCUC